rnacentral:lncRNA from 1 species
UGUCCACGCCGUGGCCGACCCGGGGAUCACCGACAGCCGGGCCAUGCCUCGAGUCCCGCCGCCCGCGCCGCUGCUCGGCUUCUCAGAAACGCACCUCCACGCCGCCAGCCGGGGCUCCAGGGUCCACCGCCCGGGCCCGGAGGACUGGCGACUCCCUCCGAGGUUGGGAGCGCUCCGGAUUUCUCCAACUUCAGCUUCAACAGUAUUGCCUGCUCUAUACACUAGGAAACAUUAUGUGGAACAGCAAAUUUGCUUUCCAAGUCAAACUGAAGAAAACCACACAAUAAUUAUCUAGAAUUAACUUACUGAAUUUAAAGAGGAAUAUACUUGAACUGCCUGACAAAUUAUGCAUUAAGAACAAACCAAGAGAAAAACAAAACAAACAUCACACCAUAAUAUUUUUGUAAAAAGUUUUGAAAGACAAGUGUUUCAUCGUCUUGAGAACGCUGACUUAUGAUGCCCUUGAUUGGCAUUAAGGAAACAAACUCUGGGAAAGAAUGAUGACGUCCUGUUAUAUUCUCAUCUUUGUAUUGCUCUCUCAAGAAAUAUGGGGGAGGAGGAGCCAGAAGAAGAAACAGCUCGAAGAAUUGACUAUUGUUGCCUCUGGCAAAUGGGAUGAGGAAAUGGGAAGUUAUGAGACAAGGAAAUGAUGAGUUUCAUUACAAGCCUAGAAGUAAUUAAGCGUUUAUGUUACUCAUUUGUACUAUUUUCACUUAAGACAAUGAAAAUUUAUAAUUUCUAAAGAGCAGAAAAGAGCUCGGAAAGGUUACCUGCUUGGUAACCAAUGGCUGUAUGAUAUGUUGCCUGACUGUUAAAUCCAGAAACUGUCAAAAGAUGGGUUUUGUUUAGGUUGAGCCAGACUUUCUCCAGAAGGAGUAACGCACCAAAGGAUCUGUCUGACUCCCACCCCCAUGACCACCUCUAUUUCUGCUCAUCUCCAGCUUGACCGCUGGACCUUCAGGCAGGUCUUCCCUUGUCCCACAGCCAAGUGUUGCCCCUCUCCAUUCAUCUCUUCUACUAUUAUCAUCAGCUGAGUCAGAAAUAGAAGACUCAGUGGACACAAAAAAAGACUAGCUGCCAUUCUGAGCUAGAGGCUGCUUCAGAGGAAGACAGCUGACUUCACUGACCACCCACUCAGUCCCAGGCACUGGACUCUGGGCACCUUUCCAUAUUAUUAUCUUAAUUGAGCAUCCCAACUGAUAUGGCCAGGCUUUAUGUCCCCACUCAAAUCUCAUCCUGAAUUAUAAUCCCCAU